UAUUUUAUAGUUUAAGAGGAAAAUAUUAAAUUGCAAAUUUAAAGAAAUUUUUAUUAAAAAAAAAUUAAAAUAU
rnacentral:tRNA from 1 species